rnacentral:rRNA from 1 species
UAAGGAAUCUUCCACAAUGGGGGCAACCCUGAUGGAGCAACGCCGCGUGCAGGAUGAAGGCUUUCGAGUCGUAAACUGCUUUUAUUAGUGAGGAAUAUGACGGUAGCUAAUGAAUAAGGGUCUGCUAACUACGUGCCAGCAGCCGCGGUCAUACGUGGGACCCAAGCGUUAUCCGGAUUGACUGGGCGUAAAGCGUUGCGUAGGUGGUUUGUUAAGCGAAUAGUGAAACCUGGUGGCUCAACCAUUCAGACUAUUAUUCGAACUGGCAAACUAGAGAACAGUAGAGGUACCUGGAAUUUCUAGUGUAGGGGUAAUAUCCGUAGAUACUAGAAGGAACACCAAUGGCGUAGGCAGGGUACUGGGCUGUUUCUGACACUAAGGCACGAAAGCGUGGGGAGCG